ACUAAAUAGGACAAUGCAACUACUUCAAAAUACCACUGAUAAAAUUAAUAAACUUUCAUACAGAGCUGUGUUAAAGUCAUCUUACUAGAGCAUGGAUUCAGGGGGUUCUAGAUACUUCCAUGGUAAGUGUCAUUUCUGUAGGUGUCUUUGCUGCAAAUAUUCACCAAAAAAAAAACAAAAAACAUUUUUACCAUAGAACAGAUUGGUUAUAAGGCAAUUUUGGUGUAAAAGAUAAAAUAAUAAAAAAAAAUAGGAAGGACAUUAAAAAGGACAUAAUGGACAUGAGAAGUAUAUCAUUUCUCAUAAUUUAAAAGGUUUUAUUGAAAAAUGCAAAAUAUUUGAAUACGUUUAAAAUGCAUUUUCACUGCACAAAUAACUGAUUUUGAGUUAUAGUGAAGUACCUGUCUUCCAACUCAUCCAUUCAUAGUAUUUUAUACAUUUUUCUUAUUGAUUUGUCUCUUCAUUUGUCAUCAAGCUUUUUCUUUUUUGCUAAAAUUUCUUCCUUCAUUAAGAGCAGUAUCAAUUUCCAAUUACCAGGAUGCAUAUUUGUAAGCUGUGUGUUGUGUGAAAGUCUCUACACUAUUUUUGGUUCUUGGCAUACUGUCACAAGCUCAUUGAUAGAUGUUACAAAGUUCUAUGGGACAUGGGAGUUCAACUCUGCACCUUCAAAUCACUGAUGGAUUUGCAAACUAUGGUAUCUCUUUUCAGUACAAUACACAGUCUGGCUUUACCUUCUCUUAGUUCAUGCUCCUCGUGAGCUUUAUCACCGCAUUUUUGAUCAAGUCUGUGUACUUAGUUGUCAUCAGCCACUAUUUUGAGAACAGCAUAUCUACUCAUUGCUGUAUGGACCAUUACGAGGGCUAAGAUUUACGUAAUAUAAAGUGGGAGUAUUGUUUCAAUGGAGACGUAAAACCAAACCAUCAACCAGUUGAGACCAAACUGUCAUCCAGCAGUUUUAUUUUUUAUGGCAAAAUUGCCUUACAGCCAAUUAGUGAUGUGGCAGAAAUGCUUAUGGCAAAGAUACCUACGGAGAGAUGCCUAUGGCGAAAAUACUGGAUAUGGAUUCUGGGUAGUCCAGGACAGUAGCCUUCAAGGGAUAAGCAGUAAGUGCAACCUCUAUAAUUAUUUGGACCCUCGUCCCUCAGGGCCUCUGUUGCACUGUAACAUGGUCUUUAUGUGCCUUUGAGGUUAGCACUGUGUUAUUUCUCAGUUUUACCCCCACUGCUUAAAGAGACAUGGGAAGCAUAAAAGGAUUUUAAAUGUCUGUCUAGUUAAUGUAUUAACCGUGUGCCAGAUACUGUGAAUUCCCCACUCCACUGUCUUUCAAAUUCAUUUAUUUCUCCUGGUUUAAUUUUUCCAGUGUCUCCUCAGUGCUUUCUGAACGGAGACAAACCCCUCAGGAUGACUUACAGAAAAGCUUUCAUUAUGAGUGUGAACAUAGUGAGGACAGGGGCUCUGUCUUUUUUGUUUCAGCAUCAUUGAGACUGUCAACAGAGAUGGUCAACAUGCCAAUCUACAACAGGAAUAGAAGAGAGUUUUAUUUGAGUCAGACUGAGGACUAUAAGCCAGGAGACACAGAUUCAAGAAGCACCUGGAUUGUGCUGAGAGCCAGAUUACAGAAUGGAGGAAGUUUAUAAAAGUGAAAACCACAGAAUUCCACAAAUUGUUUCUCAAGAAUUUGCUGGGGGUAAGGGAAGCAAAAAUUGGUUGGGAUCAAACACAAAUGAACUUCUCUAUGAAACAGAAACAGACUCACAGAGAGAACAAAGUUGUGGUUGCCAAGGGGGAGAGAGAACUGGGGAGGGAUGGAUUAGGGAUUUGGAACUAGCAGAUGCAAACUAUUAUAUAUAGAAUGGAUAAACAAUAAGGGCCUACUGUGUGGCACAGGCAACUCCAUUCGACAUCCUGUAAUAAGUCAUAAUGGGAACAAAUAUAAAAAAAUAUAUAUAUUUGCUCCGUUUUGAUUUUUAAAUGCAUUCUUUUCUUUAAUAGUUAAAGCAGAUGGGCAAUGCAUCUUUAACAGGCCACAGACAGGCUGUUUCAGUUAUCCUAAAGUUUAAGUUGAAUCAUGGAUAAGCCCGAUUGACUUCCUCAUACCUUAAUAUGUGAAAAUCCUUCUAUCAAGGUGUAGUUGACAAAACUGUCUGAUAUUUAAAGUGCACAGUGUGAUGAUCUGAUAUACAUAUAUACAUUGUGGAAGGAUUCCGGGGGCUGUAUCUUGUCAUCUCUGUAUCCUCACUGUCAGAUUGUUAACUACUCAGUAAAAGUUUGCUCGAGUGCUUUGCAUAAAACUAUGGGGAAUCCCUCUUGGGCUAAUAAGCCUGUGAGUAAUUGGUCAGAGAGUCACGUUCAUGAUGCUGUGGGCUUGGGUUUGACUCUCAUGAGCGCUUCUUCACCUGUCAUCUUGAUAACCAGAGAUGGCACCCCAACCCCUGUACCACUGCCUUAACAGUGGGCAACCAGGAAAAGGUGUAGAAUAAAUCUUUGUGGGUAGAGAUGACAUUCUACAUGGAAACAUUUCAAUAUCCACAAGAACUGAAAAACAAAAACGAUAUCUAAAAACUCAUCAGAGAAUGAAAUUCCGAGUCCAGGAAAAAAAAACAAACCCAAACAAAACUUGAUGUGACAAAGUACAUCGUUGCCCCUGAGCAUCUGCGCACCAAGCAGCAAACAAACGUCUGGGACAGGGAUGGACGGACACACAGAAGGGCUUAAAACAGACUCGUCAGAAAGAACCCGAGUCUAUCCGGUUUUCAUUUUGGUUUCCAAAUGGUGAUUUACUUAAACAAAGUGGCCAUUUGACUGGCUGAAGACAUGUUAGGCUUUCUCAGAUCAGAAUGCCCAUAAAGCAGGGGUUCCAUCUGGACCCAGCACUCAGUACGGUUCACAUUCAAGUGGAAUUAGCAUCUUUUGAUAACAAUGGAAACAUUUUCCAGAGAAAAGCCCAUUGAAUGCCUAUUGGUGGAUCAGAUUUUCAAUUUGACUAAUAUUUAAGAGCUUCUCUUGCCUCUCUGCAGAAAAUCCAUGUGGAAGGGAAAAAAAUCAAGGACAAAAAUAAUGUCAGAAUGGAUAAUAAGGAAGGUAUUAGACUCAUAUAGUUAAGCUUCUUCCCUGGGCAAAGCUUGUAAAUUCAUUAGAGUUCCAAAGAGAGCUCUUCUUGUACAAAAACGUAAAGGAUGGUUAGUUUUCAGGUGUUUUAUUUAGUGUACAUCUCUAAUUUUAUGCUUCUUUUAAUAAGUCUUAAACUCAAGGAUCUGAAUGAGGGCCCUGUCUGUCUGGCUCUUGUUCUUGGCCAAUUGCAGCUUAAUUAAAAUUUAUUUUUAUUUCAUUUUUUCCUUUCUUUUGUUUUAGGGCCACAGCCAUGGCAUAUGGAUGUUCCCAGGCUAGGGGUCCAACCAGAGCUGUAGCCGCUGGCUUACACCCCGGCCACAGCAACGCCAGAUCCAAGCUGAGUCUGUGACCUACACCAUAGCUCAUGGCAAUGCUGGAUCCUUAACCCACUGAGCGAGGCCGGGGAGCAAACCUCGUCCUCACGGAUACUAAUCAGAUUCAUUUCCACUGAGCCACGAUGAGAACUCCCAUUUAAUUAAAUUUAAAAUGUUAAUAUAUACAUUAAAUUCUUCUGAUAAAAUUGGGUAGUAAAGAUAAAUAGAUCGAUUGAUCGAUCAAUUGAUGAAUAGAUAGAUAACAGACAGACACAUAGAUAUAUAUGUUUACAUAUGUGCAGGCUGGCCAAGAAAGAAAGAUUGUCACAUAAUCUUUCUCUUCGGUGGCUUCAACCCUACAAACAAACCUAAUAGAUGAAUUUCUAAGAAUAUGAAGCUUAAUAUAGCUGUUCAGAAAGGAAUCAACGGCCUGUUUACUGCACUUAUCGACAAUUUGUGAAAGAAGAGACCAGAAAUCAGUCUAAUUACCAGAGUGCCAGUUGUGCUUGUUAACACCAGCUUUGUGACCAAAUGUUAUUCCACAGUUGUCACAUCACACGAGGGUUUCAUUACUAACAUAAUAGUGAACAAGAUCACAUGAAAAGCUAUUGAUUGAUCUGCCACACAAAGGAAGGACACACUCGUCUCUAUUAUAACAUGUUACAUCUUAGACUGUAAGCAGCAGAUGUAGCCCCGCCAUUCCUUUACAAGAGAAGUGUAAUUUAGACGCUGUCCUGCUUCUUUAAGCGUUUGCCAAUUAGGGCCCCUUUCCUAUUUGCAUAUGUCAUCAAGGGGCUGAAGAGACAAGAAAUUACCCUGCUCUCGUUCUUCCUGCUCUUUAAGCCAGACUCAAUCGAUUCUCUUGAAUUGAAUCCAGGAGAUGCUUGGGGUGUGUGCAGUGUUUACUUUAUCAAUUGUCAUUCCUGGCAAUAAAAACAAAUAGCUGCUGUGUGUUAGGCUGGUUUCAUGUGUUUUGCCGGAGCCUCGGCUUAUAAUUAGGCAAUCUGGAAAGGGAAGAGGAAGGAAGCCAACCCCUCUUGGGGCUCUCUCUUCCCUGAACUGUCCGAGUUCCAUGGCAGAAAGGUGCCCGUGGUCCCAAGUGAGCCGAAACCAUCACCACCACAGUUCUUCAGGCCAGCAUGUUCAUUGUCUGUCUCGCAAACUCCACAAACCCUUUCACUCCAUCUGUGUUUUUCGAGGGAGCAGUCACCUUUAUUUUUAAAUGAGCUCGAGGAAUUUUAUAGCUUGGAAGCGGAUUCAUCGACCUCAGAGCAACCCCCCAAAACAGAUGGCUGUCUGCACCGUCUCACCCGAAGAUGCGUGAUGCAUCAGACAGAACGUGGGCUUGCUCCUUACCAGCUCCAUUUUCCUGCUUAUGCUUACGGAACAGACACAAUUGAAUGAAAAACAUAAAGUACUUAAAAUCCAUCUACCAUUAAUAGUUUAAUUAAACUGACACAUACUUCAAAAACAGAGCGACAGAAAACAUUAAUUUUGGUUAUAAAGGGCAUGGCAUUAUUAAAGUGCAAUUAAAAGCAACAUUCACUUACAGUUAACCGCUAAAACAAUUUAAUUAUUUAACACCGGAUUGUCACUUGUGACUAACUUCCCCUCUUUGAUGUGGAGAUGGUCUGAGUCCCUGUUGAUUGUUAUGGUUCGGUCCCUUGAAUUCCAAAUGCGGUGGCCGCCUCAGAGCAGCGCCGCUUUAUUCCAUCGCUGCUGGCUGGUA
rnacentral:lncRNA from 1 species